CCUACGGGGGGCUGCAGUAGGGAAUAUUGCACAAUGGGCGAAAGCCUGAUGCAGCAACGCCGCGUGAGUGAAGAAGGCCUUCGGGUCGUAAAACUCUUUUCAAGGGAAAGAGGAAGGACGGUACCCUUGGAAUAAGCAUCGGCUAACUACGUGCCAGCAGCCGCGGUAACACGUAGGAUGCGAGCGUUAUUCGGAUUUACUGGGCGUAAAGCGCGUGUAGGCGGUUAGGAGAGUUGGAUGUGAAAGCUCCCGGCUUAACUGGGAGAGGUCGUUCAAAACUUCCUGACUAGAGUUUGGUAGAGGAAAAUGGAAUUCCGGGUGUAGUGGUGAAAUGCGUAGAUAUCCGGAGGAACACCAGUGGCGAAAGCGAUUUUCUGGACCGAUACUGACGCUCAGACGCGAAAGCUAGGGUAGCAAACGGGCUUAGAUACCCCGGUAGUC
rnacentral:rRNA from 1 species